UGACAUGUGUACUGUCACACGCUUGAAUGUGCUAUUACAUUGAAAAUUAUGCACAUCUCUAGUUCCAUCGAAAUAUUGUGAUAUUACACGACACAUUGCAUUUUUAAAUAAAAGAAUUUUUUUUCCAGUGCAGUGCUGUGAGUUUCUGUUUGUGCGCCUUUCAUUAUUUGUGUAGGUGGAAAACAAUCUGGCGUUCUUUCCUGCAAAUAAAACACCGCCAUCGAGCACGACGCAGUAUUUCUUGUCAUCGGAUAACCAUUCAAUUUUGGACCACCAGUGUGAUGUUUUCUCACCUUCACUACAGAAAUACAAACCAAUCCUGUCUUAUUAGUUGCUAAAAAUCGUAAUAUAACGACAUCAACUCCUCUUUCCGUAUGCAGACAAAUAGCUCAAGUUAUUGUGAAUAAGUAUAAUUUUUUCAUUGAUGUCGAUGACGAUGGAAUAAUAAUUGGGAAUGGUUGUAGCAGUUUAAUAGAGAAAUUGAAGAACAGGAAUUUGAACCGUGCUCAUAAAAGUGGCCAUCACAACAAGAAUCAGAAAUUAGGAGACGAUCCUAUGAGACAAUGCCGAAUCGGCAUUAGAGAUAAUUACUAUUUCACCGGAGAACCGCAUGUACCAAAAAGAUGCUUGCAAAAGCUUUAAAAAAAUUUAGACUGAUAUAUGGAUCUACUAACAUAAUCGAAAUCGUAUAUCCGCUUCAAGAUGGACUCUAGUUCAAUUAAUGAUUUGAUGGACAAUUUUCCGAUUUUGAGAAGAAAAGCAUUUCUUGAAUAUCAUUUUUUCGAGGCCACUGGAGUUGAAGCGGAAAAUUUCAAAAACAAUUUCCUAGAAAAACGAGACAGUAUUAUUAGUUUGUCGCAAACGUACCGAAACAAAUCCCUACACAUCCAGGAUUCCGCUGACAAUAAAUGUGUGUUUUCGGGAAUCGCAAGACUUCUUAAAGAAGAGUUGACUGAAAUCAUCCAUGACAUAGAGGUAGAUGAUACUGAAGAGACGAUAGUCAAACAAUACCCAAUAAUUGUUGCAAUAGGUCAGCACGACUUCUUCAUCAUGAUUUCAAAUGCUAAUAUUGUAUGCGAAUUUUAAACGUAUUUACAAAAUUUUUCAUAAGGAAUUUAAUGCCAACACUUUUAAUACACCGAAAAGAAUUAUGCACAUUGAUAAGGAUGCAAGCAACUCUCUGCAGAAAAACAAAACUGAGAUUUUGAGUCAAUGUCAAACACAGUAUAUACACAUUUUCGCAUACUUGCAUAAAUUCUUGCACGAUACUGUAAUACUUUAUUCCAUAUCUCAAGCUACGAGUAAAGGUUUAUUAACACCUCCGGUCUGGUUCAGUGUCGGCACAGUUAUAUACACGGACGUUAAUAUUCUUUCACACGUUUCAGUGCGAGUAUUCACACUUGUCCGGUCAGUACCGACAAAAACGGUUCCGGACAGGUGUAAAUACAAUAAUCGAGUACGUGUGUAAGAAUAUUAGAAUCCGUACACGGAACUAUGCUGGUAUUGAACCGAAUCGGAGAGCUGUAAAUAAACCAUAAAGGGCAAUUCAAAUCUCUCCGAUCCAGUUCAGAGUCGGCACGAUUUCGUGCACGAAUUCUAAUAUUCUUACACACGUAUUUAACGCGUGUAUUCACACCUGUUCGGCAUCGUUUUGGUCAGUACUGAGUCGAACAAGUGUGAAUACACACAUUGAAACGUGUGGAAGAAUAUUAGCAUCCGUGCACGGAGCUGUACCAGACCGGAGAGGUGUAAAUGAAUUAUGAAUAUUAGUGUCCGUGCACGGAACUUUGCCGACACUGAACCGGAUCGGAAAGGUGAAAAUAGACCCUAAUUGUAUAAUCAUGUGUAAAAUAUUUAGUCACAUAUCAAUGUUGUACUAUGAGAUUUAACUAAUGUAAAAUAUUAUCCCACGAAAUCAUCAUACUUCAAAUACCCUCAACAACAAGUGACAUUUUCUCUUUGUUUAUUUUCUCUUUCGAGUAUCAUGGCGCGAUUUUCAUAUUUUUUAGUACUACUCAUCAUUGUUUUCCCAGUACUAACGGUUUCGUCUAUCAUUUGAUGCGAAGAAUGGUGAACUUGGAAAUGGCUUAAUAAAUGAUAGAGAGACUGGUUCAACUCAGCAAUUUUUCAUACAUGCACAGGGUCACAGAAUUAGCGAAAAUUUUUGCAGCUUUGCUUCAGCCGUUCAAUUUUUAAUUAUAACAUUUUAUAUUUACUGUUAUUUCUAUCCAACAAAUUUUUCCAAAACUUUGGAAUUCCUGCAGAUUUACUUUUUUAAAUUAGUACCAAAUAAAGGGACUCGAUCAAGAGCCACCAUUGUAGGGCAGCAGCAGCGCAUGGUCCGCACAUUAUUGGUGAAGCUUGCCAAACUUAAAAACUAGA